rfam:Talaromyces stipitatus ATCC 10500 scf_1105507295523 genomic scaffold, whole genome shotgun sequence.
GCCUCUAUAGCACAGUGGUAGUGCGUUGCACUUGUAAUGAAAAGUCAUGCAAAGGUCCGGUGUUCAAUCCACCGUGGAGGCA